UGGGGUAUGUUAAAUAUUUUCUGAGACUGGAGGUUGCACGCUCUGAAGCUAGUCUUUUCUUCACCAAAAGAAAUAUAUGUUAGAUAUCCUUCAAGGAAUAGGAUUUAUGCAUGCUAACACAUCUGACUUUCCUUUACCAUAAGGGCUAAACUCGAUAAUACAAUUGGACCGAUUUUGACAGACUCAAGCAGAUAUCGAAAGUUAAUAGGCAAGCUACUUUACCUCGGAGUUACCCUGCCGGAUAUUUCCUACGCAACACAGUACCUCAGUCAGUUCAUGCAGCAGCCACGACAACAACACUGGGAUGCAGCUCUCCAUGUACUUCGCUACUUGAAAGGCUAUCCAACACGAGGCCUAUUCUUUCCAACUUAAAGUAAUUUCAAGAUUCGAGCUUUCUCCG
rnacentral:lncRNA from 1 species